rnacentral:rRNA from 1 species
CGAAUGGCGUAAUGAUGGCCAGGCUGUCUCCACCCGAGACUCAGUGAAAUUGAACUCGCUGUGAAGAUGCAGUGUACCCGCGGCAAGACGGAAAGACCCCGUGAACCUUUACUAUAGCUUGACACUGAACAUUGAGCCUUGAUGUGUAGGAUAGGUGGGAGGCUUUGAAGUGUGGACGCCAGUCUGCAUGGAGCCGGCCUUGAAAUACCACCCUUUAAUGUUUGAUGUUCUAACGUGGACCCGUGAUCCGGGUUGCGGACAGUGUCUGGUGGGUAGUUUGACUGGGGCGGUCUCCUCCUAAAGAGUAACGGAGGAGCACGAAGGUUGGCUAAUCCUGGUCGGACAUCAGGAGGUUAGUGCAAUGGCAUAAGCCAGCUUGACUGCGAGCGUGACGGCGCGAGCAGGUGCGAAAGCAGGUCAUAGUGAUCCGGUGGUUCUGAAUGGAAGGGCCAUCGCUCAACGGAUAAAAGGUACUCCGGGGAUAACAGGCUGAUACCGCCCAAGAGUUCAUAUCGACGGCGGUGUUUGGCACCUCGAUGUCGGCUCAUCACAUCCUGGGGCUGAAGUAGGUCCCAAGGGUAUGGCUGUUCGCCAUUUAAAGUGGUACGCGAGCUGGGUUUAGAACGUCGUGAGACAGUUCGGUCCCUAUCUGCCGUGGGCGCUGGAGAACUGAGGGGGGCUGCUCCUAGUACGAGAGGACCGGAGUGGACGCAUCACUGGUGUUCGGGUUGUCAUGCCAAUGGCACUGCCCGGUAGCUAAAUGCGGAAGAGAUAAGUGCUGAAAGCAUCUAAGCACGAAACUUGCCCCGAGAUGAGUUCUCCCUGAGACUUUAGGUCUCCUGAAGGAACGUUGAAGACGACGACGUUGAUAGGCCGGGUGUGUAAGCGCAGCGAUGCGUUGAGCUAACCGGUACUAAUGAACCGUGAGGCUUAACCUU